GCCUAGCUCAAUCGGAUAGAGCGUCAGACUCUUAAUCUGAAGGCUGCGAGUUCGACCCUCGCGGUGGGCU
rnacentral:tRNA from 1 species